rnacentral:lncRNA from 1 species
CUCGGACACACAGGCCCUCGGUGUCCGGGACGCCGCCGUGCAGGCUGUGCAGGCAGAAGGGGCUGCAGGCGCUGCAGAGGGGGCGUGACCGGAGGCGGGGCGAGGCCGCCUCACAGGGACAGCCUUGCGGCGCGGGGCGCAGGCCCGGCCACCCCACCCUGCUGAGCAGCGCUCCGAUGCUGACCCUGCAGCUCCCGGGGCGAGGGCGUAGCUGCUGCCGCAGGCCUCUCGGGCACCCCGAGAGCCGAGAGCGCAGCCAGCGCCUGGCUGGAGCAGCGGUCUCCAGACCUCUCUGGCUGUUCCUCCACCACAGGAAGUGGCUCCGCUGAAGGGAGGGCGCCCGCCUGGAACAGCAGCUCGAGUCUGAAGGAAGAGAGCUGGGCUGCGCUGCUGAGCAGCUCUGGGCCCCGCACGGCGCCGCACCCUUCCUGCCUGCGCCCUUCGGUUGUGGAGGGAGGGGCCCAGGCCGGGGCGUUCUGGACGGACGACAGAACCCAACAGCCAGCCCUGACGGUGCGACCUCUGCCCAGGCCCGCGCUUCUGAUCGGCUUGAUGUAACCAUCAGAAAUGCAGAAGGGCUCGUGCAGCUCCGCGCUGGAGCACAAGCUCAGCGUGUGCGCGGCCAUGGGUUCGAUCCCCAGGGUGAAAGCACAAAAGAAGAGACAAGAGCGGGGAGGAAGAGAGAAGGAAAGAGAAAUAAAGCGAGAAGCCCAAGGACAGCGGGGACGGGCCACUUAGACCUUUCAGCCUCUGGAUCCCAGGGUCUGUAGGAGACACGCGGGACCCCGGAAGGAAAGCCGAGCAGGAAACUCCCGCCCCGCCUCGCCCCGCCCCGCCCCGCCUCGCCUCCUCCCAGGCGGGACAGCCUGGUGUCUGCAAUUUCCUCCAGGGCCGCUAGAUGGCAGGCAAGGAAAAGAGAAAAUUCUCAGCCACAAAAAGUACCUGAUAAAGGCUGAAUGAAAGCUAAAAAACAGCAUCAUAAAGGUAAAUGUGAAGAAAGCUAAAGCCUACUUCCUGCAGAUAACGCACAAUCAGUUCUUUAAGAGAAAUUCCACUCAAAGCCAACUAAUUUAGGAUUCUAAAACCAUUCCGAAGUCACAGCUUACACGGGCACGUGUUGGCAGUUCAGGCACCGCCCAAUACCUACGCUUCGUGUUGCCCACUAGAUGUGACAUCCUUCUGUGUGCUAAAGAGUCCCUGAAAAUGCAAGUUGGCUGUUUGCUUUUGAAUCGCACUGUCGGACAGACUUUAACACAGUGCACUUGGUCGCUCUGCCCUGGCCAGCAGCCCGCGAACUAAUUCCUGAAAAAGGUCCGGGGGGACCCCCUGGGCUCUGCCCGGUGGCUGGUGCCCUGACACGGGGCAGGGAGCUGUGUAUCACCCCUUCCCUACGACUCAGAUGUGUGGGACCCUGAACUGCAGCUCACAGCUCAGGACCACUGCCGUGCGGGGCUUGAUGACAAUGAAACCUCCCUGUGGCUCUCGAGAGCGAUGUCCAAGUGGAAAGGAGCCCUCACAUACUGGUCAGCAGAGUCAGGCCAGCCAGCACCCCAUUGCAGGGGGAGCGGCCAGCCCAGGUGCCGAGUGUCUGAAGGGAAAAUUCCAGCCCCUGUGGGCGAGCUCUCUGGACAGUGUGCCCACUUAAAACCUCGCGUGUGACUCGGGGAAAAUGUACUGACAGUCCAGUCUUCACCACUGAAAAUCCUGUGUUUAAAAAUGUAGGUGAGCAUCUGUCACAGAACCCUAGAUGGAUAGAGUCGGCAGGGACCCCGAGAAAUCACCCAUCCGCGCAGAGCAGCUCUGAAGUCUGGUCGGUCAAAGCAAGAGGAGUCUUGCCUGCUCCUAGAGGAGAUUUGGUCUCCGCCUCUAUCCCUCCACCGUACAACAUUUUUAGUAACUCCGACUGUAGACUGACAUAGACCUGCUCCAAUUCUGGCUCUCCCCAGCUGGCCAUGCGGGUCUGGGUGGGCUGCCUCAGCCCGCCGAGCCUCGCGGCUGCCGUGAGCACUGGCAUGUGCACCAGCCAGCGGUGUUGCAAAGCUCAGAGGGAGUCAAAGAGUGUGCGUGCACAUAGGUAUGUGGGUGUGCAGGUAAUCAGCCACUGUCCUCCCGCUGCCUUCCCGGGGCCACUUCGCUUGUCUUCACAACCAGCGACUGCAUCUGAAAUGUGGUGGCCAAGGAUACCAAGCGUUUCGCUUCCCUCCCAUCGGCCUCACCAAAUGUAACGAUCACCCCGUGUCCUGCGUGAAAUCCGCAGCUGAACGUCCAUACUGGUGACAAACCUAGAGGGCACUGUCUCAGCCCAGAAGGUGACUCCGUUUUACGUAAAGAUGCAAGCCUUUUCUCUGCCAUCAAGGAACCUCUCCUUAAAGCUACCCAAGUGUAUCCUUCACCAAAACAAGGAACUAGACCAAGACAGCAGAAGAUGUGGAAUUCAGGUAAUAGUGUCCAGCCCAAGAAAUAGGCAGAGAAUUCCCAGAUCUUUGUAGCAGGCAAGAGCAAAAACCACCUGGGCUAUAGAAGGAGACCAGAAAACUCCCAGAAGAAGGUGCACAGCAGAUCCAAUUGACGUGCAAGAGAGUUGACCUGAUAGAAAACACUUUUGAGAAACAUAUUAUGGAGCCACUGAAAGGCACAGUAAGUCUUAACCUGAGAGUUGGAGAAACUCUAAACACUGCAUGAUGCUUAAAGGAAUGAAUCUGAAGAUGGUAGAGCAUCGAUCCAGAGAGCUUGACUUAAUGCUACUUCUUUUUUAAAUUAUUGUAUAACUGUGUGUGUGAUAGCAGCAGGUAUUAGUCUGAUAAAAAUAGACAAACUCAUGAUUGGGUCACGACAAACCCAGGAAGACCUGAAACUGUGGGCAGGAGAUGUUACUGCCCAUACACUGUGACUUCAGCUGGGGGACGGGCCCUGCAGUACACCUUCGGGCUCAACUCUACCACCAAACUCAAGUCUCCGAGGCUCAGCCUCUGUCACUGCCUGUCUGUGACCUGGUGAUAGUUUUCCUUUUUGGAUUGGAAGGAUUUUUCUAGCACAUAGCAAGAUUCUCCUAAGACUGACCUCCCAUAGCCUAACUUUGGUUCCAUCUCUGAGUAAAAGAUGCUUCCAACCUUCAAGGGCAAUUGCUUGUGAGGGUUCUGAAAGCUGGGGAAAGGUCAUAAAUAAUGUUCUUCCUUUAAAUAACCCAUAAAGCAGGUACCAGCAGUGAGCCUUUUAACAUCUCUUUCUGCCUGUUCGGGACUAGCUUACUGGUGGAGUGUGUGAGCUUCUGGAGGAGUCCUCCAAGGCAAUGGAGAGGUGAGAGAGAAGCACUCAGAGCCAGAUCCUCUGCCAGCCAUUCGCUCCAGUGGGGCGAUCUCAGCGUGCUGUCCCCGCGCACAUGCCAGGCAGUCCUGUUGCUUGUAUCCUAGAUCCCCGCUACUUGCCCUAUCUGGAACAUCCCCCUCUCACCCCAUCUCUAGAUCUAAAUGCUUCAUCUUCCUCAGCAGAUCUUGCAGUCUGGUGAGUCCUGGCUUUAGAUUCUGUCAGAUCUGGAUUUGUCCAUAUAAGGGGCAAAUCUCUUUAUCUCUUUAAGCCUCAAUUUCCUCCUCUGUCUAGUAGGCAUAAAUAGCUGCAGUUAUGACAUCAGGUGACUGUCUUAAUUCAUAUGUGUACUGUGUC